CGACUGGCGCACGGGUGAGUAACGCGUAUCCAACCUUCCCAUAACUACGGGAUAACCCGUUGAAAGACGGCCUAAUACCGUAUGAUAUCGUUUGCUGACAUCAAAAUAACGAUUAAAGGGUUUAGCGGUUAUGGAUGGGGAUGCGUCUGAUUAGCUUGUUGGCGGGUAACGGCCCACCAAGGCUACGAUCAGUAGGGGUUCUGAGAGGAAGGUCCCCCCACAUUGGAACUGAGACACGGUCCAAACUCCUACGGGAGGCAGCAGUGAGGAAUAUUGGUCAAUGGGCGAGAGCCUGAACCAGCCAAGUAGCGUGCAGGAAGACGGCCCUAUGGGUUGUAAACUGCUUUUAUGUGGGGAUAAAGUGCGCGACGUGUCGUGCAUUGCAGGUACCACAUGAAUAAGGACCGGCUAAUUCCGUGCCAGCAGCCGCGGUAAU
rnacentral:rRNA from 1 species